CAAGUAAUUCAACCUGUGGCACAUAAUAGGAUGCAAGAAGCUCAUCCUCGGCUAACAGCAUAUGUCCAGUCUCAUUUUUAAUUACAUGCCCAACAGCAGCCGGGUCCUUACAAACGGAGGCAUCAAAAUUGUUUUUUAAUACACGAAGGGGAGGAGGUAUCCAGCGCACAAAUAGAGAAGAAGAAUGGGCAAAUGAUAAAGAAGUAUCCCA
rnacentral:lncRNA from 1 species